rnacentral:lncRNA from 1 species
GUGGAGGAGAGCAGUAGGACAGAAUUGAAGGGGUAGCAGCACACAAAACAGAUUACUUUAAGAUCUUCAAGCUCCAAAGGUUCUAGGAGUACUCCUAGCCAUGGGUCUCUUGGUGAUAUACCAGCAUCUUUCUGAGAAGGAGGUAUAGCAGAAGAGAAGGAGCUGGAUGGAUCCCACUGCUCCUGGCUCCCUGGCAGGUUUUAGGCAAAGACUUACCAGUGUGAAGUGUUGGAGAUUACAGGGACUGGCGCUUGCAGAAACAUGAAGAAUCCAAGCCAACUUGUAGAGAAUCCUUAAGUCCAUUCAGAGACCAAAGGGAGCACACUGUUGCUGGAAAAAGAGAGGAGGUUCAAUGACAAGGGGCU